GGGAAUGAUUUUUCUAACCUGCCUCCACCCUUCCAGGUGCCACGGGAGGCAGACACCAAGUUCUGGGGUCUCCAGCUGCAGUGGGUGGCCGCCAAUUGCUUCUCUCUGUCCAGACUAAUGAGAACAUGGAGAUCACCAGUGCACUGCAGUUGGAAUAGCACGUAAAGAGGGAGCUGGGAAAGAAGCUGGGCAAGCUAAAGGACAUGGUAACCCUGCCCCAUCCAAGAAGAGCUGGAAGGCGGGCACCAGCCUCUGGGGAGGGGAGGUGUGAAGCCAGAGGCAGCUCCAGCCUGGGGGACAGGUGACCCCAGCACCCUCCAGGGCAGUCCUGUGACUGUUUCUUGCUUCCCGCCCUCUGACAUUUAGUGGUGGGUUCGUUCUUCCUAGGUCUGGACAUCAUCAUCCCAGCUGGAGUCAUGGAGCCUCCCAAACAUAGGGAAAGAGAUGGUGGUAUAAGAGGUUCCUUAGAGUCAAACUAGAUUCCGGCCUUGGCUCCACUGGUCACCUACUUUUCAUCUCUAAGUCUCGGUUUCUUUAACUUAAAAGGGAAGUUAGCACCUUCCUCUUGGAGGUGCUGAGGAUUAAAUGAGAUAAUACGUGGAAAGCAUUAGGCAUGUAGCACAGUUAGCAGAUGGUGGUUGGCUCCCUCUGCUUUUCCAUCAGUCUGUGGCCUAGUUUAAAUGGUGGGAGGAAGGGUGUGAGAUUUAAGGCUGGUUGUAAGGGAUCAGUCAGUGUAGUUGGAAAAAUUGUAAGAUGAAGUUAUAGGAUAUAGACACAAACCUUCCUGGAAGGCCAGAAAGUCUGCAUAGCUUCAAUAAAGGAUUUGGCUGAAAGCAGCGUAAUCCCCUUUACCUUGAGUUGAUAGCAAUAGAGCAAAUAACAUGGGAACGUGGGGGAGUUUAUUGAAUAGCUUGUUUACUCAUGUGGUCCUAAGACCAACCUUUGAUUAUCCACGGGUGCAUGAUUGCUCUCUACUCGGUGGUCGGCAAAUUUAAUUACCCACAGGUGUGUUGACUCAAAGCCUCUGUCAUUAAAUCUAUGCUGAAUAAAUGCCGUCAGGGCCAGCUAGUCAAGGUGCACAACUCUUUUUGUGCGUGGUGUGGCCCCUUAGCUGCUCUGUCACUGAAUAUUGGUGUCUGAGUAUGUUAUUCAUCUGCCGUGCAACUGGGGUUUGCAGGACAGACCCCUGCAAGUGGUGUCCCGCGUGAGGCACACUGUGAAGGAUCACAACGGACCCCUCGAAAACAAAGGUGAAAAGAACUGCACAGUCAAUAAGUCAGUAAGUCAUUGAUGCCCGCUCGGAAUUUCCAAGUUUGGCGGGGAUUGUUCAGGCUAGGGUUUCAUCAUGGGACAACAGUUAUCAGCUCAACAGGAACAGUAUAUAAAAGUAUUGAAGCAGCUGCUUAAAACUAGUGGAGCCUCAUUUUCACAGGCUCAAUUAAGGGACCUAAUGCAAACUGUUGUCUCACAUAACCCAUAGUUCCCAGAAAAAGGAACGCUAGACGUAGAGCUCUGGGAACAAGUGGGGAGAAAUCUUAAUCAGCAUCAUGUGCAAGGGCAAUGGGUCCCAGUAUCAUCUUUAAUGCUAUGGGCCUUAGUCAGGGCAGCCCUGGCUCCAUUAUACACAGAAGAGCCUAAAAAGGGGAAGGAGGAGGAACCGUCACCUGCUUUACCACCUCCUUUUCCCUCAGCCCCAAUAUCGCCAGGCCAAAAUAACAAAGAGGAAAUGGAGGUUUUGCCUGAGCCCCCUCCUCCAAUAAAUAGGAAAAAAGACAAGAGCUAUGCUACAGCUAUGGGACCCUUUCUUAGGCAAGAGGCAUUAAGUGGGGAGCUCUUAGCCUGCCUGGUAAUACAAGAUUGACAGGGCAAUUGGGUAUAUAAACCCAUUUCUUUUAACAUUUAUAAAAAGUUAAGAAAAAGCAUUAGAGGCUGAAACCGCGUGGCCAAAUGGGUGGUAGGCAGAAGGAAAUACUUGGCAGCAAAGGAAGCUCGCAGACCUGGAGCCAGCAAGUGCUUCCAGGAACUCAGCCUGCACAGAGGCAGCAGUGACAAGGAGCCAGGCGCAGCACACCAGAGCUGGCCUGAUAGGGAGGGGCAGGAGGCGUGCACGAAGGUCCGCCCAGCGGCAGCAGGGUGAGGGAGCAGCACAGACAAAAGGUGGCACAGACAAAAAGCAGCGCCUGAGCAAGCGCAACAUGACCGCCGCCCCGGGACCCGCCGGCUAGACUCUCUGGCUCCGCGGGUGGCCCAUGGCAAAAUUUCAUGUGUUCCUUGUAUACAAGCGACAUCCCAGAUUAUAAUUCUCUGCUAAGAUUUAAGUACAAUUUAAGAAUUUAAAACACCUCUUUCUAAUAAUGGCCACUGUUGCUUUUACACUAUUCCCCUGGCAAAGCAAGACAGAAAAAUUUGCAUUUACAAUACCAGCUAUCAAUAUUGAAAGGUCAGCUUGCCGAUUUCAUUGGAAAGUGCUUCCUCAAGGAAUGCUAAACAGUGCUGCCAUGUGUCAGUAUCAUGUAAAUCAAGCUUUGUUCCCCAGUAGAAAAGAAUUUCCUCAUUGCAAGGUUAUUCAUUUUAUGGAUGAUAUUCUACUAGCAGCCCCAGUGGAGCCAGUGCUUUUAAGUUUAUAUACCUCUGUCAUAAAGAAUGCACAGCUAAGUGGUUUAAUCAUUGCACCUGAAAAAGCACAAAUGUCCUCUCCUUGGAAGUAUCUUGGGUACAUACUUCCUGGUCAGUAAGACCUCAAAAGGUUAAAUUAAAUACUAGCAACUUACACACCUUAAAUGAUUAUCAGAAAUUACUAGGUAAUUUUAACUGGCUUCACCCCACCUUGGGCAUUCCUACUUAUAAGCUGCAAAACCUGUUUUCUAUCUUAAAGGGUAACACAGCCCUGGAUUCUCCCAGAUAUUUAACCCCUGCAGCAAAAAAAAAAAAAAAA
rnacentral:lncRNA from 10 species